AUUGAACGCUGGCGGCAGGCCUAACACAUGCAAGUCGAGCGGAUGAAAGGGGCUUGCUCCUGGAUUCAGCGGCGGACGGGUGAGUAAUACGCAGGAAUCUACCUAGUAGUGGGGGAUAACGUUUCGAAGGGACGCUAAUACCGCAUACGUUCUGAGGAAGAAAGCAGGGGAUCGUAAGACCUUGCGCUAUUAGAUGAGCUUGCGUCCGAUUAGCUAGUUGGUGGGGUAAAGGCCUACCAAGGCGACGAUCGGUAACUGGUCUGAGAGGAUGAUCAGUCACACUGGAACUGAGACACGGUCCAGACUCCUACGGGAGGCAGCAGUGGGGAAGUAUUGGACGAAUGGGGGCGAACCCCUGAUCCAGCCAUGCCGCGUGUGUGAAGAAGGCCUCGG
rnacentral:rRNA from 1 species